rnacentral:rRNA from 1 species
UGGGGAAUCUUGCACAAUGGGGGAAACCCUGAUGCAGCGAUGCCGCGUGAGUGAAGAAGGCCCUUGGGUUGUAAAACUCUUUCGUCGGGGAAGAAAAUGACUGUACCCGAAUAAGAAGGUCCGGCUAACUUC